rnacentral:rRNA from 1 species
UACAGGGGGUGCAAACGUUGCUCGGAAUCAUUGGGCGUAAAGCGCACGUAGGCGGUUAUUUAAGUCGGAUGUGAAAGCCCUUGGCUCAACCGAGGAAGUGCAUCCGAAACUGAAUAGCUGGAGUACGAAAGAGGGUCGCGGAAUUCCCGGUGUAGAGGUGAAAUUCGUAGAUAUCGGGAGGAACACCGGUGGCGAAGGCGGCGACCUGGGUCGAUACUGACGCUGAGGCGCGAAAGCGUGGGGAGCAAACAGG